CACCGAUUGACUAAGGUUUCCAGAGGAAGGCUCGUCCGCUCUGGGUUAGUCGGGUCCUAAGCUGAGGCCGACAGGCGUAGGCGAUGGAUAACAGGUUGAUAUUCCUGUACCACCUAUAAUCGUUUUAAUCGAUGGGGGGACGCAGUAGGAUAGGCGAAGCGUGCGAUUGGAUUGCACGUCUAAGCAGUAAGGCUGAGUAUUAGGCAAAUCCGGUACUCGUUAAGGCUGAGCUGUGAUGGGGAGAAGACAUUGUGUCUUCGAGUCGUUGAUUUCACACUGCCGAGAAAAGCCUCUAGACAGAAAAUAGGUGCCCGUCCCGCACACC
rnacentral:rRNA from 1 species